CUGCCCCUGUCAGGGGGACAACCCGCCGAAAGGCGGGCUAAACCCGCGUACAUGCCACCGGGGCAUCCCGGAGGCAGGAAAGGCUUCGGCCGGACAGGGAUGGGCAUGCGGCGCAUUAGGCAGUAGGCGGGGUAACGGCCCACCUAACCGACGAUGCGUAGGGGUUCUGAGAGGAAGGUCCCCCACACUGGUACUGAGACACGGACCAGACUCCUACGGGAGGCAGCAGUGAGGAAUAUUGGUCAAUGGUCGGGAGACUGAACCAGCCAAGCCGCGUGAGGGAUGAAGGUACAGAGUAUCGUAAACCUCUUUUGUCAGGGAACAAAGGCGGGGACGUGUCCCCGGAUGAGUGUACCUGAAGAAAAAGCAUCGGCUAACUCCGUGCCAGCAGCCGCGGUAAUACGGAGGAUGCGAGCGUUAUCCGGAUUUAUUGGGUUUAAGGGGUGCGCAGGCGGUCCGUUAAGUCAGCGGUCAAAGCCCGGGGCUCAACCCCGGCCCGCCGUUGAAACUGGCAGUCUCGAGUUGGAGAGAAGUAUGCGGAAUGCGCGGUGUAGCGGUGAAAUGCAUAGAUAUCGCGCAGAACUCCGAUUGCGAAGGCAGCAUGCCGGCUCCACACUGACGCUGAGGCACGAAAGCGUGGGUAUCGAACAGGAUUAGAUACCCUGGUAGUCCACGCAGUAAAC
rnacentral:rRNA from 1 species